GGCAACAUUAACAGGACCAGGGUAGAGGGAAAUAUUCAACUGUCAGUCCUCUGGAGAGGUCAGAUUUCAGAGGACAACACCACUGAAGCUGGUACAUUCGUGCACUCACCAAAGGAAACUUCAACAUGACACCAGAUGACAAACUGUUGCAUGACCUGUGAAGAGGAGAAAUGACAGCAACACAGAUGCGACACACCUACAGGGCAAGACCAGCUGUGCUGCUGAUAUGGACAGCACAUGAACAUCAGAUUAAAAGAGUUUUGAAAACAUUA